rnacentral:rRNA from 1 species
CUACGGGAGGCAGCAGUGGGGAAUAUUGCACAAUGGGCGAAAGCCUGAUGCAGCAACGCCGCGUGAGCGAUGAAGGCCUUCGGGUCGUAAAGCUCUGUCCUAUGGGAAGAUAAUGACGGUACCAUAGGAGGAAGCCCCGGCUAACUACGUGCCAGCAGCCGCGGUAAUACGUAGGGGGCAAGCGUUAUCCGGAAUUACUGGGCGUAAAGGGUGCGUAGGCGGUUUAUCAAGUCAGGGGUGAAAGGCUACGGCUCAACCGUAGUGAGCCUCUGAAACUGGUGAACUUGAGUGUAGGAGAGGAAAGUGGAAUUCCCAGUGUAGCGGUGAAAUGCGUAGAUAUUGGGAGGAACACCAGUGGCGAAGGCGACUUUCUGGACUACAACUGACGCUGAGGCACGAAAGCGUGGGGAGCAAACAGGAUUAGAUACCCCUGUAGUCC